GGGAAUGUAGCUUAAGUGGUAGAGUGCUUGCCUAGCAUGCAUGAGGCCCUGGGUUCAAUUCCUCAGUACCA
rnacentral:tRNA from 1 species